AUCAGAACAAUGUAAGAUAAAAUUAACAGAAUCCCAAGACUGUACAGUAUACGGUAUGUUUACUUGAGGCAGACAGAAUCAUUAUGGACCUUUUUUUCUCUCUUAAGACUGACAGUCCACAAAUUAAAAAGCUCAAUUCUACAUGAUGGUAAUGGCAGAAGAAUGCUUCAGAAUGCAUGCAGCCAUAGUUAGAUCAGGUUGAAUGCUUCCCCUUCUAGUCACACACACACACACACACAAUGAGCAUGGCUACAACACAGGAAGCUGACUAUAUAAUGGUGCCGGAGGGGAUGGCUGCCGUUUUAUGGCUGAAAUUUAUGGGCUCAAACUCAUUUUGUACAUAAUGUUGCUACUAACGUCUUUAACGAAAAUAGCUUCUGGACAUCAGAACAGCACAACUCACCUCGAACUGGACAAAGAUUUCUUCUUUAAUGAGUCCAACGCAAAGGAUAUACUGCUUCCCAGAGACCAGGCACAAAUCCCUGUCAUUCGUGUGAAGAAAAGAUGGAAAUACAGUGGGCGGAGGUCUGGGCGCAUUGUGAGAAUUCGUCGCCAAGUGAGUAAACUACCACUACCCUCGGUAUUAUUGGCCAACGUACAAUCAUUGGAAAACAAAUUGGAUGAUCUACGAUUAUGACUAUCCUACCAACGGGACAUUAUUAAUAAACCUUUCUGGGAAGGGGGUUCCGCUAGCGGAAUAACCUCGCCUACAGCCAGUGAAAUUGCAGGGCGCCAAAUUCAAACAACAGAAAUCUCAUAAUUAAAAUUCCUCAAAAAUACAAGUAUUAUACACCAUUUUAAAGAUAACCUUCUUGUUAAUCCAACCACAGUGUCCGAUUUCAAAAAGGCUUUACGGUGAAAGCACACCAUGCGAUUAUGUUAGGUCAGCGCCUAGCCACAAAAAAACAUACAGCCAUUUUCCAACCAAGUAGAGGUGUCACAAAAGUCAGAAAUAGCAUUAAAAUUGUAACGCCCUGGCAAUAGAGAGGGGUUUUUUGUUCUUUAUUUUGGUUAGGCCAGGGUGUUACAUUGGGUGGGCGUUCUAUGUUCCUUUUUCUAUGUUUUUGUAUUUCUUUGUUUUGG
rnacentral:lncRNA from 1 species